AUCAACACAAUUUCAAUUAAUAAAAUAAAUAAACUGUUCAUAGGCUAUGGAGAAAUGGAAUUAUCACCGUAAUUAAAGUAAUUUAGCUGUAAUUUAGGAAUACAUUAUUGUAAUUAGAUUAAUUUGAUCCUUUCCUUAUAGGUUGUCCAAAUUAACUAUAUAUGUAUCAUUGUAUUAUUGAUUUUAAAUAACAAAUAAAGAAGAUCUAGAAUAUUCUCCAUAUUAUUCACAUGGUAUCAGAGCCAAAACCCUAGACUUACUGUAGCCGCCGCCGUCGCCGCCGCCGGAAAAACUCUGCCGUGAAGUCCUGCCGUGAAGACGCUUCCGCGAACGCCAGAUCUCCCUUCAGUCAAUCUUCCUGCCGCAGCCUUCUUCCACGAACGCCAGACGCAAGACCUUCCCUCGGUCCUUGCCGUGAAGCCCUGCCGUGAAGCCCUGCCGUGAAGACACUUCCGCGAACGCCUUGCCGUGAAGCCCUGCCGUGAAGACACUUCCGCGAACGCCUUGCCGUGAAGCCCUGCCGUGAAGACACUUCCGCGAACACCUUGCCGUGAAGCCCUGCCGUGAAGACACUUCCGCGAACACCUUGCCGUGAAGCCCUGCCGUGAAGACGCUUCCGCGAACGCCAGAUCUCCCCUCGGUCAAUCUCCCUGCCGCAACCCUCUGCCGUGAAAACGCUUCCACGAACACCGCGCCGCGAACUCCAGCAACCUCCUACCAAUAUUCUGUGAACUGUAUACUCGCCGCCGUCGCAAGCACCCUCCUGCCUUGAAGACCUCUGCUGGCGACCUCCUGCCGUGAAGAAACAACCGCGCCGCGAACUCCAGCAACCUCCUGCCUCGAAUCCCAACUGCAAUUCCAGUGAAAUCCCAGCCACGAACUUUAGCCUCGAAUCCCAGCCGCAAAUACUCUGUGAAUCUCCAGCAGCUAAUUAUAUUUAGAUGGAGAAACAUGAAGUUGCUCGUCCCAUUAGCACCAUUCUCGAUGGAACUAAUUAUAUCACUUGGGCCCACCAAAUGAGGAGUUUUUUGAUAGGUCGAAAACUGUGGCGCAUCGUUACUGGAGAUAUCACUAAACCAGUCAAACCUACUCCUCCGAUGGACACCACUGAAAAUAUUGAUACAGACCCAUCUGAUGUCACUGUUCAAGAGACGACUGCAGAAACCGACAAAUAUGAUUCACACUCAAUUCUCCAGCAAAAUUAAAAUCUUUCGAACUGAUAAUGCGAUGGAAUAUAAGGACUCUCAACUUCUUUCCUUCCUUGCCCAGCAAGGCACUCUGAUUCAACGCUCCUGUCCUCACACCUCUCAGCAAAAUGGAAGAGCUGAACGCAAACAUCGUCACAUUCUUGACUCUGUUCGUGCUCAGCUUCUAUCUGCUGCUUGUCCAGAAAAAUUCUGGGGCGAGGCUGCCCUCACCUCUGUCUAUGUCAUCAAUCGUCUUCCUUCAAAAGUCACUAAAAAUGUUUCUCCCUUUGAAAGACUAUACGGUACUUCCCCUUCUUACUCCAAUCUAAAAAUUUUUGGUUGUGCAUGUUUCGUAUUAUUAUAUCCUCAUGAACAUACCAAACUUGAACCACGUGCACGUCUAUGUUGCUUCUUGGGUUAUGGUACUGAACAUAAAGGAUUUCGUUGUUGGGAUCCCAUCUCUCAACGAUUACGUAUAUCUCGUCAUGUCACCUUCUGGGAACAUCGUAUGUUUUCUAGUCUUUCCUCAUUCCAUGAAUCUCUUUCAAGUUCUCACCCAUUCUUCACCGAUCCGUCUAUUGACCUUUUUCCCUCACUUGAUUCAACACCUGACACUACACCUUGCAUGUUACCUAUACCUGAGCCCACUCAAUCGGACCAUAUUUCUGCACUCCCGGAUCUUCCAUCUGCCCCUCUUGAGGAACCUGAAUCUACACCAAUCCGACGAUCUACACGGGUAAGAGAAAUUCCCUCUCAUCUUAAAGAUUAUCAUUGUUUCUCCACCAUCAUGUCUUUAGUUGAACCUUCCUCGUAUAAGGAAGCCAGCACUAACCCAUUAUGGCAGCAAGCAAUGAAUGAAGAACUUCAAGCCUUAGAAAAGACUCAUACUUGGGAAUAUGUGGACUUACCUCCUGGAAAGAAACCUAUUGGUUGUAAAUGGAUCUUCAAAAUCAAAACACACUCUGAUGGGUCUAUAGAACGAUACAAAGCACGACUUGUAGCCAAAGGUUAUUCUCAAGAAUAUGGCAUUGAUUAUGAAGAAACGUUUGCUCCAGUAGCUCGAAUGACGUCUGUUCGUAGUCUUUUAGCCAUUGCAGCUGCAAAACAGUGGCCCCUCUUACAAAUGGAUGUUAAAAAUGCAUUUCUCAAUGGAACUCUAUCUGAAGAAGUCUAUAUGAAACCACCACCUGGUACUACCCGCCACAUCAGAAAGUAUGUCUUCUUCGACGAGCUCUCUAUGGUCUCAAACAGGCUCCCCGAGCCUGGUUUGCAACUUUUAGCUCCACUAUUACUCAACUUGGGUUCACUUCCAGCCCUCAUGAUUCAGCCUUGUUCACCCGCCAGACACCUAAUGGUAUUGUACUCCUUCUUUUAUAUGUUGAUGACAUGAUUAUUACAGGCGAUGACCCUCAAGCUAUAUCUGAAUUGCAAUGCUACCUGGGAAAGCACUUUGAAAUGAAGGAUUUAGGACCUCUCAGUUAUUUCCUUGGCCUUGAGAUCACCUCCGUAUCUGAUGGCUAUUACUUAUCUCAAGCUAAAUAUGCUUCUGACCUACUCAGUCGAUCUGGUAUUACUGAUUCUACAACAUCCUCAACACCUCUGGAUCCAAAUGUUCGACUUACUCCUUAUGAUGGUGUUCCCCUUGACGAUCCUACUUUGUACCGGCAACUUGUUGGUAGCUUGAUUUACUUAACUGUAACUCGCCCUGAUAUUGCGUUCGCAGUUCACAUAGUCAGUCAAUUCAUGGCCGCUCCCCGUACUAUUCAUUUCACUGCUGUCCUUCGGAUUCUUCGCUACAUUAAAGGCACUUUGGGUCAUGGUCUCCACUUCUCCUCACAGUCUUCUCUGGUUCUCUCUGGAUUCUCUGAUGCUGAUUGGGCAGGAGAUCCUACUGAUAGAAGAUCCACCACUGGCUAUUGUUUUUAUUUAGGUGAUGCUCUUAUCUCCUGGCGCAGCAAGAAACAAUCUGUUGUUUCCCGGUCUAGCACUGAGUCUGAAUAUCGUGCUCUAGCUGAUGCCACUUCAGAAUUAUUAUGGCUUCGUUGGCUUCUUACUGAUAUGGGAGCCCCACAAACAUCAUCUACUACUCUCCAUUGUGAUAACCGCAGUGCCAUUCAGAUUGCACACAAUGAUGUAUUUCAUGAACGAACAAAGCACAUAGAGAACGAUUGUCAUUUUGUCCGUCAUCAUCUUCAAAGCAACACUCUCCAUCUUCAAUCUAUCUCUACCAUUGAUCAACCUGCAGAUAUCUUCACCAAAGCUCUCCAUUCUCCUCGUUUCACUCUGUUACUUCACAAACUCAAGGUGGUUUCUACUCUACCAACUUGAGUUUGAGGGAGGGUAUCACCGUAAUUAAAGUAAUUUAGCUGUAAUUUAGGAAUACAUUAUUGUAAUUAGAUUAAUUUGAUCCUUUCCUUAUAGGUUGUCCAAAUUAACUAUAUAUGUAUCAUUGUAUUAUUGAUUUUAAAUAACAAAUAAAGAAGAUCUAGAAUAUUCUCCAUAUUAUUCAC
rnacentral:lncRNA from 1 species